UCCGGUUUGACACCGGCAGUCUCCCUAGAGUGCCCGGCAUAACCCGCUGGUAACUAGGGACGAGGGUUGCGCUCGUUGCGGGACUUAACCCAACAUCUCACGACACGAGCUGACGACAGCCAUGCAGCACCUGUGCACGGACUCCGAAGAGGGGCCGAUGUUUCCACCGGCUUUCCCGUGCAUGUCAAGCCCAGGUAAGGUGGGGAUGACGUGUCUAGGAGGGUG
rnacentral:misc_RNA from 1 species